rfam:Hordeum vulgare subsp. vulgare, WGS project CAJW01000000 data, contig: morex_contig_1516234
CCCUGUCGCCCCACGAGGCGCGGUCAACGAGUCGGGUUGUUUGGGAAUGCGUCCCAAAUCGGGCGGUAGACUCCGUCCAAGGCUAAAUACAGGCGAGAGACCGAUAGCGAACAAGUACCGCGAGGGAAAGAUGAAAAGGACUUUGAAAAGAGAGUCAAAGAGUGCUUGAAAUUGCCGGGAGGGAAGCGGCUGGGGGCCGGCGA